GCUGGGCAUGGUGGCGCGUACCUGUAAUCACAGCUACUCGGGAGGCUGAGGCAGGAGAAUUGCCUGAACCCAGGGGGCGGAAGUUGCCAUGAGCUGAGACGCGCCAUUGCACUCCAGCCUGGGUAACAAGAGCGAAACUCCGUCUCAAAAAAAAAGAAUUUUGCAAGGCUGGAUGUGGAGGCUUCUUUUUUUUUUGAGACGGAGUUUCGCUCUUGUUACCCAGGUUGGAGUGCAAUGGCGUGAUCUCGGCUCACCGCAACCUCCGCCUCUGGGUUCAGGCAAUUCUCCUGCCUCAG
rnacentral:SRP_RNA from 13 species